rnacentral:lncRNA from 1 species
GUGUCACCGUGUCACGUCACCACGUCACCCUGUCACCAUGUUACAACAUCACUGUCACCAUGUCACUGUAUCGUGUCACCGUGUCACGUCACCGCGUUAGUGUCACCAUGUCACGUUACACUGUCACUGUAUCACUACGUCACCGUGUCACUGCGUUAGUGUCACUGCAUCACCAUGUCACCGUAUUGUGUCACGUCACCGCGUUAGUGUCACUAUGUCACUGUGUCACCACGUUACCGCGUCACUGCGUCACCAUGUCACUAUGUUACAGUAUCGCCAUGUCACCACGUUACACUGUCACCGGGUCACUACGUCACCACAUUCGUGUCACCGUGUCACUGUAUUGUGUCACCGUGUCACCACGUUAGUGUCACUAUGUCACCAUGUUACAGUGUCACCGAGUCACUAUGUCACCGUGUCACCACACCACGGUGUCACGGUGUCACCAUGUCACUAUGUCACUAUGUUACAGUGUCACCAUGUCACCGUGUGACUGCGUCACCGUGUCACCACGUCACCCC